GUGUUGGCAGGAGUCCACAAGACAUUUGAACGAUGCCAACAUACACAAAUGCACUUACUAGCAUUGAAGGCACAAGAUGAACAGGAUGAAGGCAAAAUAGGUUUGGCCCCUGCUGACUGUUCGUUUGUCUUAAUUUUGCAGUAAAUAACUAAUGAGAUCGAACCAAUAUGGCCGGUCAAGAGUAUAGGGUGAAUCAGUGGAAGUAACAUGGUUAUUUAGUGCAUAUAUCAGACUAACUUUGUAACAGGAA